UAGUCAUAUGCUUGUCUCAAAGAUUAAGCCAUGCAUGUCUAAGUAUAAGCAAUUAUACCGCGAAACUGCGAAUGGCUCAUUAAAUCAGUUAUCGUUUAUUUGAUAGUACCUUACUACAUGGAUAACCGUGGUAAUUCUAGAGCUAAUACAUGCUGAAAAUCCCGACUUCGGAAGGGAUGUAUUUAUUAGAUUAAAAACCAAUGCCCUUCGGGGCUCUCUGGUGAUUCAUAAUAACUUCUCGAAUCGCACGGCCUUGCGCCGGCGAUGGUUCAUUCAAAUUUCUGCCCUAUCAACUUUCGACGGCUGGGUCUUGGCCAGCCGUGGUGACAACGGGUAACGGAGGGUUAGGGCUCGACCCCGGAGAAGGAGCCUGAGAAACGGCUACUACAUCCAAGGAAGGCAGCAGGCGCGCAAAUUACCCAAUCCCGACACGGGGAGGUAGUGACAAUAAAUACUGAUACAGGGCUCUUUCGGGUCUUGUAAUUGGAAUGAGUACAAUUUAAAUCCCUUAACGAGGAACAAUUGGAGGGCAAGUCUGGUGCCAGCAGCC
rnacentral:rRNA from 1 species